UACGGAAGGCAGCAGUGGGGAAUAUUGCACAAUGGGCGAAAGCCUGAUACAGCUAUGCCGCGUGUAUGAAGAAGGCCUUAGGGUUGUAAAGUACUUUCAUCGGGGAGGAAAAAACAAAACUAAUAAUUUUAUUUCUUGACGUUACCCGAAAAAGAAGCACCGGCUAACUCCGUGCCAGCAGCCGCGGUAAUACGGAGGGUGCUAGCGUUAAUCAGAAUUACUGGGCGUAAAGAGCACGUAGGUGGUUUUUUUAAAGUCAGAUGUGAAAUCCCUGGGCUUAACCUAGGAACUGCAUUUUGAAACUGAAAUACUAGAGUAUCGUAGAGGGAGGUAGAAUUCUAGGUGUAGCGGUGAAAUGCGUAGAUAUCUGGAGGAAUACCUGUGGCGAAAGCGGCCUCCUAAACGAAUACUGACACUGAGGGUGCGAAAGCGUGGGGAGCAAACAGGGAUUAGAUACC
rnacentral:rRNA from 1 species